CGAAUUCGCCCUUAGAGUUUGAUCCUGGCUCAGGACGAACGCUGGCGGCGUGCUUAACACAUGCAAGUCGAACGGAAAGGCCUCUUUCGGGGGGUACUCGAGUGGCGAACGGGUGAGUAACACGUGAGUAACCUGCCCUUGACUUUGGGAUAACUUCAGGAAACUGGGGCUAAUACCGGAUAGGAGCUCCUGCUGCAUGGUGGGGGUUGGAAAGUUUCGGCGGUUGGGGAUGGACUCGCGGCUUAUCAGCUUGUUGGUGGGGUAGUGGCUUACCAAGGCUUUGACGGGUAGCCGGCCUGAGAGGGUGACCGGCCACAUUGGGACUGAGAUACGGCCCAGACUCCUACGGGAGGCAGCAGUGGGGAAUAUUGCACAAUGGGUGGAAGCCUGAUGCAGCAACGCCGUGUGCGGGAUGACGGCCUUCGGGUUGUAAACCGCUUUCGCUCAUGACGAAGCUUUGUGUGACGGUAGUGGGUAAAGAAGCACCGGCUAACUACGUGCCAGCAGCCGCGGUGAUACGUAGGGUGCGAGCGUUGUCCCGAUUUAUUGGGCGUAAAGGGCUCGUAGGUGGUUGAUCGCGUCGGAAGUAUAAUCUUGGGGCUUAACCCUGAGCGUGCUUUUGAUACUGGUUGACUUGAGGAAGGUAGGGGAGAAUAGAAUUCCUGGUGGAGCGGUGGAGUGCGCAGAUAUCAGGAGGAACACCGGGUGGCGAGGGCGGCUCUCCUGGGACUUUUCUGACCCUGAGGAGCGAAAGCGUGGGGAGCGAACAGGAUUAGAUACCCUGCAAGUC
rnacentral:rRNA from 1 species